GUAGGUGAACCUGCGGAAGGAUCAUUAACAAAAUCAUGAAGAUUAGUGGUCAAACACUAAUUUUUAACCAAUGUGAAUUGGAUAGUAUUCUACUAUCUUUUUUAAUAAUAACAGUUUACUGUUGUUAUUAUAUUAACGAGUUUUAUUAGAGUCUGAUUAAAAAUAAUUAAAUUAUAAACAACUUUUAACAAUGGAUCUCUUGGCUCUG
rnacentral:misc_RNA from 1 species